CCUACGGGUGGCUGCAGUGAGGAAUAGUGGUCAAUGGACGCAAGUCUGAACCAGCCAUGCCGCGUGCAGGAAGACGGCUCUAUGAGUUGUAAACUGCUUUUGUACGAGGGUAAACGCAGAUACGCGUAGCUGUCUGAAAGUAGCGUACGAAUAAGGAUCGGCUAACUCCGUGCCAGCAGCCGCGGUAAGACGGAGGAUUCAAGCGUUAUCCGGAUGUAUGGGGUUUAAAGGGUGCGUAGGCGGUCGGAUAAGUUAGAGGUGAAAUCCCGAGGCUCAACUUCGGAAUUGCCUCUGAUACUGUUCGGCUAGUGCUUAGUUGCGGUAGGCGUAAUGUCUGGUGUCGCGG
rnacentral:rRNA from 1 species